rnacentral:rRNA from 1 species
UACGUAGGGGGCAAGCGUUGUCCGGAUUUAUUGGGCGUAAAGAGCGUGUAGGCGGCCAGGUAGGUCUGCUGUGAAAACUCGAGGCUUAACCUCGAGCUGUCGGCGGAAACCACCAGGCUAGAGUCCGGAAGAGGAGAAUGGAAUUCCCGGUGUAGCGGUGAAAUGCGCAGAUAUCGGGAAGAACACCCGUGGCGAAGGCGGUUCUCUGGGACGGUACUGACGCUGAGACGCGAAAGCGUGGGGAGCGAACAGG